rnacentral:rRNA from 1 species
AGUAACACGUGAGCAACCUGCCUUUCAGUGGGGGACAACAUUUGGAAACGAAUGCUAAUACCGCAUAAGACCACAGUGUCGCAUGGCACAGGGGUCAAAGGAUUUAUCCGCUGAAAGAUGGGCUCGCGUCCGAUUAGCUAGAUGGUGAGGUAACGGCCCACCAUGGCGACGAUCGGUAGCCGGACUGAGAGGUUGAACGGCCACAUUGGGACUGAGACACGGCCCAG